rnacentral:ribozyme from 1 species
GCUGCCUAAUUUACGUCAGUAUUUUUAGGGGGAGGAAAGUCCGGGCUCCAAUGAGCAGGGUGCCAGGUAACGCCUGGGCGGCGCAAGCCGACGACAAGUGCAGCAGAGAGAAGACCGCCGAUGGUUGUUUCUUUUGAAACUUCACAGGUAAGGCUGAAAGGGUGCGGUAAGAGCGCACCGGAUUGCUGGUAACAGUAAUUGCAGGGUAAACUCCACCCGGAGCAAGACCAAAUAGGAUCUC